CUUUCAAUUUUUCUCGCCUUGCUUGCUAGACAUUUUUGUUGCGUAUGACAUUUCCCCCCCUUUCUAUUCAUUUUGCUUUCUCAUUUCGGUGUCAAAACGAGCGGGUAGACAAAUAGAGUUCGAUUUUAAUGGUUACUGGCUUCGUGGGUUCAUACACAAUCUAUAUUAACAAGCAUUUUUGGAAAUCCAAAAAACUAAGGUCUGAUAGUAGCAUCGCUAUCACUGGUUAUAUAUUGGUUUUCAUAGCCACAAUGGCAAGAUUUAUACAAAUUUACAGGAUAGACUUUAAACAAUUCCAUUUUUUGAGAAUGGCACAUGAAAAGAGGCUUAGAGGCAUGCAAGAAUGUAAACAGCAAAAUGAGGGAAGAAAACCCAAAAAAGUUAAAGUGAAGUUCGUUCCCCAACAAAAUCAUUAAAGAUUUAAAUAACUAAAUUAAAUACGAUAAUGAAUUUUUUACACU